UACGUAGGUGGCAAGCGUUGUCCGGAAUUAUUGGGCGUAAAGCGCGCGCAGGCGGUCCUUUAAGUCUGAUGUGAAAGCCCACGGCUCAACCGUGGAGGGUCAUUGGAAACUGGGGGACUUGAGUGCAGGAGAGAAGAGUGGAAUUCCACGUGUAGCGGUGAAAUGCGUAGAGAUGUGGAGGAACACCAGUGGCGAAGGCGACUCUUUGGCCUGUAACUGACGCUGAGGCGCGAAAGCUAGGGGAGCAAACGGG
rnacentral:rRNA from 1 species